rnacentral:rRNA from 1 species
UACGCUGGCGGCACGCCUAACACAUGCAAGUCGAACGAAGUAGCAAUACUUAGUGGCAGACGGGUGAGUAACAUGUAGGUAUCUGCCCUUUGGCCUGGAAUAACACGAGGAAACUUGUGCUAAUACCGGAUAAGUCUUUACGGAGAAAGCUUUAUGCACCAUUGGAUGAGCCUGCACUUGAUUAGUUUGUUGGUAGGGUAAUGGCCUACCAAGACUGUGAUCAAUAGCUGAUUUGAGAGGAUGAUCAGCCACAUUGGGACUGAGACACGGCCCAAACUCCUACGGGAGGCAGCAGUGGGGAAUCUUGCACAAUGGAGGAAACUCUGAUGCAGCGAUGCCGCGUGAGUGAAGAAGGCCUUUGGGUUGUAAAGCUCUUUCGUCGGGGAAGAAAAUGACUGUACCCGAAUAAGAAGGUCCGGCUAACUUCGUGCCAGCAGCCGCGGUAAUACGAAGGGACCUAGCGUAGUUCGGAAUUACUGGGCUUAAAGAGUUCGUAGGUGGUUGAAAAAGUUAGUGGUGAAAUCCCAGAGCUUAACUCUGGAACUGCCAUUAAAACUUUUCAGCUAGAGUAUGAUAGAGGAAAGCAGAAUUUCUAGUGUAGAGGUGAAAUUCGUAGAUAUUAGAAAGAAUACCGAUUGCGAAGGCAGCUUUCUGGAUCAUUACUGACACUGAGGAACGAAAGCAUGGGUAGCGAAGAGGAUUAGAUACCCUCGUAGUCCAUGCCGUAAACGAUGUGUGUUAGACGUUGGAAAUUUAUUUUCAGUGUCGCAGGGAAACCGAUAAACACACCGCCUGGGGAGUACGACCGCAAGGUUAAAACUCAAAUGAAUUGACGGGGACCCGCACAAGUAGUGGAGCAUGUGGUUUAAUUCGAAGAUACGCGCAGAACCUUACCAACACUUGACAUGUUCGUCGCGACUCUAAGAGAUUAGAGUUUUCGGUUCGGCCGGACGAAACACAGGUGCUGCAUGGCUGUCGUCAGCUCGUGUCGUGAGAUGUUGGGUUAAGUCCCGCAACGAGCGCAACCCUCACUUUUAGUUGCCAUCAUUAAGUUGGGCACUCUGAAAGAACUGCCAGUGAUAAGCUGGAGGAAGGUGGGGAUGACGUCAAGUCCUCAUGGCCCUUACGUGUUGGGCUACACACGUGCUACAAUGGUAUCUACAACAGGAAGCAAGACUGCGAAGUUAAGCAAAUCCCUAAAAGAUACCUCAGUUCGGAUUGCACUCUGCAACUCGAGUGCAUGAAGCUGGAAUUACUAGUAAUCGUGGAUCAGCGUGCCACGGUGAAUGCGUUCCCGGGUCUUGUACACACCGCCCGUCACACCAUGGGAGUUGGUUCUACCUUAAGGCAAGGUUUCAAACCCUUGACCACGGUAUAGUCAGCGA